rnacentral:lncRNA from 1 species
CAAAAUAUCUCACACUUACAAUUAUGUAGCUUUCAAGCUUAAAUACAACCCAACGGAAAAGGGUACAAUAGCCAUCCGUUAUAAUAUAAUUUAAAGUCUUCAAAAGAAAACAAUCUAGUACUACUCACGAGCACCCUUGGUCUCGAACCCUGUAAAAGAAAACCACAACGUGGGAUGAGCUACACAGUUCAGUGAGGUUCCAAGACACUCUAACAGUUCAAAUAAAUCAAGUAAGUUGGGCAUAUCAUAUGCAUGGUUCAAGGUUACACAAUGGCAUGUUAUCAUGAGGAGAUAAUCAUUAUACGGGUAAUUUGAGACAUUCAUCAUGAGACAGUUAUCAUGGUUCAAGACAUUGGCAUGUAUAGUUCACGAGUGAUUGGAGCUUAUUACAUGUGCGAGUAAUUAAGCAUGUUACAGGUAUGGAGCAUUAACAUGAAACAGGUAUCAUGAUAUGAGUACAUUGGACAGGUAACAGGUAUGGAGCAUAUCAUAGGCAUGGCUCAGGAUUUCAUGUUGACAUUUUAGCAUGAAACAAUUAUCAUGAUACAAGAUAAACAUAUACUGUAGGAUACGGUGUUCCGGUGGAACUCUGUCGGUCAUCUGCACCUUAUGACUUCCGGAUCCCCUCGGUUUGACUGGCCAUCACCUUAUCCCUCCAGUGGUAAUACUCGAGUAUACCGAAACGGUGGCCCAGGGUUCCAACCUACUCGAUCGAGCCCAAUCCUGGCUUGAGUAGGUCAGUAACCAAGGGCAGGGCCCAAGUUCAGCUUAGAGCUUACAACAUGCACAGGUAACCAAGUAAUUCGACAAAAGGUAAAAUUCAUCAUUUGAGUAGGUCGAGUGAGGUAAAGUACACACUCGCCUAACAAUGAUGGACAGCUUCAUAUAACAUGUGAUUCAUGAUAAUCAAGUAAUCAAGUGGAUACUUAGCACAUAAGCACGUAAGCAAUACAAGUUGAUUUCAUGGGAGCAUGUAAUUCGCGGAUAUCGAAUAGUCAUGUAGAUUGGAAAUCAUGUGAGCAAAUAGUCAAGUAAUCAGAUAGUCAUGUGGGUUGGUAAACGGUUCGCGGUUAACGGUUAACGGUUGAGUAGUGACGGUUAUUUGACAGGCAUUUGCCAUAUUGAUAGGCCAUUAUUGGCCGUUAUCCCAUUUUUACCAUGUGAGAGUCGAGGAGAUUCACUCCAACGACGUAUGCAACCAUAACAUACCAAGUCAUGUUAUUCGAGCAUUUCCAAGCAUGAGUUAUUCAUCUCAAAAGAGAACGAGUGCGAUAAACUACACACUCGACCCCAUUUUUCAAAACCAAGUAGGCUAAACAAGCAAUCUAGCAAGUUAAGCAUGAAUCGAGUUCAUAUGGUCCUUUGAUAUGGUUAAUCAUUUAACCAAUUCAUGUCGAUAUGCAAUGCAAGUAUACAUUAUUUAUAUAGGCAUGAGUAUGGUAAAUAUUUAACACAUAGUACCUAACACUUAAUAAUCAUGAAAUGAGCAUGUCCUAGACUUAUUCAAUUAAGUAUUCCUAUAUGGAGCACUCACCUAAUCCAAAAUAAGCGAGUGGUUCUCAACAAGCGUUUAGGCGUCCGCUCCGAGUUCCUCUUGGAGAUCUCCUCGAGUGCCUGAGCAAACAAUAAUCAAUUACCACUCAAUAUCACUACGAAUCUCUAAUUAUCGAGGAAGAUUGUACGCUAGUGCAAUCUAAGGAAAUCUUAUGAAAAUGAACCUCAAUUACUCGUAAAUCGAGAUUCAAGUGGAGUUUCUUAAAGUACAUGAGCAAUCGAGUUUUCAUUUUGGAAAUCAAGUAUAAAAUGUUCAAGUAAUAGCGAAGGAAUGAGGAGUACUUGAAAACUCCCUUCCCUUGGAAUUCGGAAAAUUUUCAGGUUUGAUACGAUACUUUGAAAAAUUGUAUCUCACAUUCUACAUGUUAAAAAUUGGAAAACUUAGUACCAUUGGAAACCUCUUUGAAAGUACUAAAAGUUCUUAGAAGACACUUUUACAUGAUUCUGAAUGAAAGAUAGUCAAAAGUGGGCUCAAAGUUACUGUCUCGGAGUACUUUAGGUUGUGUCGGGGUUGGUUUUUCGCUAACUUUGGAAAUUCGGAAAAAUUCACACAUUGCGAACCAGCCUCUGAAAUUUGUAAAUCAAUUAGAGUUGCAAGUAAGGUUUAGAACAGAACAAGCAGAUCAAGAAUCGGAGUUUCGAGCACCGAGAUACGGUAGCUCAAAGUUGGGGAAAAUUCGAAACUGUUGAACAAAUUUUCAGAUUUGAGUUUCCGACUUUGGGACUUUAGUUAGGUAUCGAAACGGACUUGGAUGGGUACAAACUUUGGCAAUACAACACUCCUAUAUAAAGGGUAUCCCUCUACCAAAUUUCAUGGAAAAAUACCUUCGGGAAGGUAGUCAACUAACCAACUAAAGUUUCAAAAAAUUCCUAAGGCAAAGCUGCCUUAAGCUUUUCGUUCUUCAUUUCCAAACAUUUGGCCCAGAAAAUCCUUCAAACUUGGUUCAUUUGUGUAGGCAAAGCCUAAGAAACAUUUAUGGUACAUUUGGUAAGUGUUUAACUCCAAGAAAUUCAAUUGACAAGUUCACACCAAACUUAGUAUCAAAUCUGCCCAGAAUUUAGGGUUUUCAAGAACAGGGCAGGUUUCGUAUUUUGAUCACAAAUCACUCAAUUCAACUCAGAAUUGAGAAUGGUUGGUGGCGUUGGAAAACACAUUCAUAAAGAUUUAAUUUCUCAGAAGAAAUUGUUUUGAAAUUCAGCACACAACUAGCUCAAAUUCGAGCCUCAAGUUGCAGCUUCUGAACUUCGUUCCAGGAAAACAGAGAAACAGGACAGUCAUCUUUAAAUGGUUGGUACGGGCUGCUCGGGUGGAAUCUGGGAUUGCAUUUUAUACCAUUGGGAAUCUGGGAAUGUCUAGUUUCAAAUGCCACUGACGGCACUCGAUUUCUACAUCGGAGUACAGAGUUAUGAAUGAAACAAGCAAGCUGUCUGAGCAUUACGGGAACAGUUCCUAGGCUCACCAGCUUCACGAAAAUAAUUCAUUUGACCAACCAAAUCUCAAUAUUUCUCAAUGAAAUUUUAUACACCAUCUAUACAACAUAUAAACAUCAUAUACAAGCCAUUAAACCCUCAAAAUUCUGCAGAAAAGGGUAAAAUCAAAGCAGGGACAAAAUUAGAACUUUUUACUCCAUGCACUCCUUGAAGUUUCUACUAGUUAUACACCAUUAAUCUACCAUUUUGAGCACUAAACCAACAUUAAAUCCAUCAUCAAGCAUGAGAUCAGUCCCCAAGACAAAGGUGGGAGUUCAUAGAGCCCACCCAUUUCAUUUUACACCAUAAACAAGCUAACCAAUGGCAUAAAUGAACUUAACUAGGUAAGAUAACCUCCAAAUGACAAGUUUCUAAGGUUGGAUCAUCACUCACUUGGUUGGAGGUUCAAGAGCAGAAUUUCGGUCACUCUUUGCUCCAGAAAACCAUGGCUUUUCAGCUCCCUUUUGCAGCUCAAAAUACUCUUCAAGUGUUAAGCUAAGUGUGGUGAAAUUUUGGUAGGAUUUGAGUGAAGAUUUGGUGAGGUUUUGUGAAGUAAAAAUUGAGAGAGCAAUGGUGGUUUGAGAGAGAGGGAUGGCCGGCUGAAA